ensembl:lncRNA
UACAAACACUUACAGGCUCACACGCAGGCAAAUACACUCACAGGUUCACACACACAGGCAAAUACACUCACAGGUUCACACACGCAGGCAAAUACACUCACAGGUUCACACACACAGGCAAAUACACUCACAGGUCCACACACACAGGCAAAUACACUCACAGGUUCACACAGACAGACAAAUACACUCACAGGUUCACACACGCAGGCAAAUACACUCACAGGUUCACACACACAGGCAAAUACACUCACAGGUUCACACACGCAGGCAAAUACACUCACAGGUUCACACACGCAGGCAAAUACACUCACAGGUUCACACACGCAGGCAAAUUCACUCACAGGUUCACACACGCAGAGGCUAAUACAAACACUUACAGGCUCACACGCAGGCAAAUACACUCACAGGUCCACACACGCAGGCAAAUACACUCACAGGUUCACACACGCAGGCAAAUACACUCACAGGUUCACACACGCAGGCAAAUACACUCACAGGUUCACACACACAGGCAAAUACACUCACAGGUCCACACACACAGGCAAAUACACUCACAGGUUCACACACACAGGCAAAUACACUCACAGGUUCACACACGCAGGCAAAUACACUCACAGGUUCACACACGCAGGCAAAUACACUCACAGGUUCACACACACAGAGGCUAAUACAAACACUUACAGGCUCACACGCAGGCAAAUACACUCACAGGUCCACACACGCAGGCAAAUACACUCACAGGUUCACACACGCAGACAAAUACACUCACAGGUCCACACACACAGGCAAAUACACUCACAGGUUCACACACACAGGCAAAUACACUCACAGGUUCACACACGCAGGCAAAUACACUCACAGGUUCACACACGCAGGCAAAUACACUCACAGGUUCACACACACAGGCAAAUACACUCACAGGUUCACACACGCAGGCAAAUACACUCACAGGUUCACACACGCAGGCAAAUACACUCACAGGUUCACACACGCAGGCAAAUACACUCACAGGUUCACACACGCAGGCAAAUAUACGUACAGUCUCGCACAGGCAAAUAUACAUACAGUCUCGCACAGACAGACAAAUACACUCACAGGUUCACACAUACAGGCAAAUAUACGUACAGUCUCUGCACAGACAGACAAAUACACUUACAGGUUCACACAGACAGACAAAUACACUCACAGGUUCACACAGACAGACAAAUACACUUACAGGUUCACACAGACAGACAAAUACACUCACAGGUUCACACAUACAGGCAAAUAUACGUACAGUCUCGCACAGACAGACAAAUAUACUUACAGGUUCACACACACAGACAAAUACACUCACAGGUUCACACAGACAGACAAAUACACUCACAGGUUCACACAGACAGACAAAUACACUCACAGGUUCACACACACAGGCAAAUACACUCACAGGUUCACACACACAGGCAAAUACACUCACAGGUUCACACACACAGGCAAAUACACUCACAGGUUCACACACAGGCAAAUACACUCACAGGUUCACACAGACAGACAAAUACACUUACAAUGCCUCCGGAAAGUAUUCAGACUGCCUGA